rfam:Corynebacterium sphenisci DSM 44792, complete genome.
ACCCGGGCACGACCCGGGGCCCGCCGGCGUCCCCGGCCCGCCCCCGGGACCGACCCGUGGUCCAAUCCUGAGGGA